rnacentral:rRNA from 1 species
AUAUGGUCAAGCUACUAAGGGCGUGCGACGGAUGCCUUGGUGUCGGGAGGCGAUGAAGGACGUGGACAGCUGCGAAAAGCCUCGGGAAGCCGCUAACAGGCAUUGAUCCGAGGAUGUCCGAAUGGGGAAACCCGUGGAGAUUCAUGUCUCCCAUCAUCCGGAACAAUCCAUAACCGGGUGAGGCGAACGAGGGGAAGUGAAACAUCUCAGUACCCUCUGGAAAAGAAAUCAACCGAGAUUCCCCGAGUAGUGGCGAGCGAAAGGGGAACAGCCCAAACCGUACAAACAUAUGGCCUGCAAGCUUCGUUUGUGCGGUGUUGCGGGACGCUGGCGGGCGGGUUUGCAGACCCGCCGGAGGAGGCUGUGUGAUAGCGCAGCCUGAUCUGUAGUUGAACGGGAUGGAAAGCCCGGCCACAGAAGGUGAUAGCCCUGUAAACGAAACGGUGAAAAUCCUCUGGCUGGUGUUCCCAAGUACCGCGGGGCUCGAGGAACCCUGCGGGAAUCUGGGAGGACCAUCUUCCAAGGCUAAAUACUACCCGACAACCGAUAGUGAACCAGUACCGUGAGGGAAAGGUGAAAAGCACCCCUUUUAGGGGAGUGAAAUAGUACCUGAAAUCGCAUGCCUACAAUCAGUCGAAGCCCUAUGGCGCGAGCGAAAGCCCGUGUCCAGGGUGACGGCUCACCUUUUGCAUAAUGGGUCAGCGACUCAUUCUACGCGGCGCAAGGUUAAGCCAUAGGGGGAACCCGAUGGUGGAGCCGUAGCGAAAGCGAGUCCGAAAUGGGCGACAAGUCGCGUGGAGUGGACACGAAGCCGGGUGAGCUACCCAUGGGCAGGAUGAAGAGUGGGUAAUACCACUUCGGAGUUCCGAACCCACUGAAGCUGAAAAUUCAGGGGAUGACCCGUGGGUAGGAGUGAAAAGCUAAUCGAACUCGGUGAUAGCUUGCUCUCCCCGAAAUAUAUUUAGGUAUAGCCUCGUGAACUCAGCAACGGAGGUAGAGCUCUGGAUGGGCUAGGGGUCUUACCGGACUACCAAACCCAACCAAACUGCGAAUGCCGUUGACUGCAAUCACGGGAGUCAGACGUCGGGCGCUAAAGUUCGGCGUCAAAAGGGGAACAGCCCAGACCGCCAGCUAAGGUCCCGGAGUGCACACUAAGUGUGAAAGGAAGUGGAAGCGCGUUGACAACCAGGAGGUUGGCUUAGAAGCAGCCAUCCUUUAAAGAAAGCGUAACAGCUCACUGGUCGAUGCGAGUCCGCGCCGAAAAUGUAACGGGGCUAAGUGUGCCGCCGAAGCUGCGGGGUCGGCAUCGUCUUCGGACGGUGUGGACCGGUAGGGGAGCGUUCCAGUCGCCUGCGAAGGUAGACCGAGAGGACUACUGGAGGCCCUGGAAGUGAUUAUGCUGACAUAAGUAGCGAUCAUGCCGGUGAGAAACCGGCACGCCGUAAGCCCAAGGUUUCCUGGGGAAGGGUAAUCCGCCCAGGGUUAGCCGGACCCUAAGCCGAGGCCGAAAGGCGUAGGCGAUGGAAAGCAGGUUAAUAUUCCUGCGCCACUGGGACAUGCGUCGAAGCUGCACGGGAGGACGGGGAAGGGUAGAUCAGCCUACGAUCGGAAGUGUAGGUUCAAGCUCGCAGGAGGCCCCUUGGAUAAUAAACGGGGGCGCAAUCCGAGGAGUGAAGAGGAGGGCCCUAGGCCCGCAAACUGGUCGAUCCCAUGCCUCCGAGAAAAGUCCCGCAGUGGAGCGUGUUCCGGUGUCCGUACUGUAAACCGACUCAGGUGGGCGAGGAGAAUAUCCUCAGGUGUUUGAGCUAACCCUCGUUAAGGAACUCAGGCAAAUUAGCACCGUAACUUCGGGAGAAGGUGUGCCCGCGCUAGGUGAACAGUUUUUCUCUGGGAGCCGAGGCGGGUCGCAGUGAAAGGGCGGUAGCGACUGUUUACUAAAAACACAGGACUCUGCAAACUCGUAAGAGGAUGUAUAGGGUCUGACGCCUGCCCGGUGCCGGAAGGUUAAAGGGAGCGGUUAGCGGGGCAACUCGCGAAGCCGUGAUCUGAAGCCCCGGUAAACGGCGGCCGUAACUAUAACGGUCCUAAGGUAGCGAAAUUCCUUGUCGGGUAAGUUCCGACCUGCACGAAUGGCGUAACGACUUCCGCACUGUCUCGACGAGGGGCUCAGCGAAAUUGAACUGGCGGCGAAAGUGCCGUCUACCCGCGGCAAGACGGAGAGACCCUGUGGAGCUUUACUACAACUUGGCAGUGAAUCUCGAGUUGAUCUGCAGAGGAUAGGUGGGAGGCUUUGAGGCCGGGCUUUCGGGUUCGGCGGAGCCAACGGUGGAAUACCACCCUGGUCAAUUUGGGGUUCUAACUCAGGUCCGUGAUCCGGGCCGAGGACACUGCCUGGUGGGUAGUUUGACUGGGGCGGUCGCCUCCCAAAAGGUAACGGAGGCGCGCUAUGGUUCCCUCAGGCUGAAUGGAAACCAGCCGGCGAGUGUAAAGGCACAAGGGAGCUUGACUGCGAGACUGACGAGUCGAGCAGGUGCGAAAGCAGGUCUUAGUGAUCCGGCGGUGCUGUAUGGAAAGGCCGUCGCUCAUCGGAUAAAAGCUACCCCGGGGAUAACAGGCUGAUCGCGUCCAAGAGUUCACAUCGACGACGCGGUUUGGCACCUCGAUGUCGGCUCAUCGCAUCCUGGGGCUGAAGUCGGUCCCAAGGGUUUGGCUGUUCGCCAAUUAAAGCGGUACGCGAGCUGGGUUUAGAACGUCGUGAGACAGUUCGGUCCCUAUCUGCCGUGGGCGUAGGAUACUUGAGGGGAGUCGACCUUAGUACGAGAGGACCGGGUUGAACGUACCUCUGGUGCGCCAGUUGUUCUGCCAAGGGCAUAGCUGGGUAGCCACGUACGGAAGAGAUAACCGCUGAAAGCAUCUAAGCGGGAAGCCCCCCCCAAGAUCAGGUAUCCCGUUGGCCUUCGGGCCACCUCAAGACCCCUUCUAGACUAGGAGGUUGAUAGGCCGGAGGUGGAAGCGCAGCAAUGCGUGGAGCCGACCGGUACUAAUUGGUCGUGCGGCUUGACCAUUUU